GCUGUAGCUCAGUUGGAAGAGCAUUGGCCCUGAAAGCCAAAGGUCCCGGGUUCAAGCCCGGGUUCAAGCU